AGUGGGCCAAGACUAGAUGCUCAUCAACGUAUGGAUGGAUGGUGCGUCUACACAAUGGCGUUUUAUGGGACCCUAAAGCAAACUGAAAUCAUGACAUUUGCAGGUAAAUGAGUGGAACUGGAGAUUGCUGUGUUGAAGGCGGUAGACACAGAAGGACAAACACCUCAUGUUUUCUCUCACAUAUGAUGUAGAUUUUGAUUGUUACCCAACCAGGAAAGCGAUCAUGAGAGUGGGAAAAGGAGCUCUUGGGUUGGAGGUGAGAAGAGAAACUAAAAAGUCAAGAGAACACAUGUGGCAAAAAAUGAGAAGAGGGACUCCUGAGGGAGGAAGCCAGCGGAGCAGGGUAAGGAACUGGGGGCAAUCAGCAGAAUCGGAGCAUGGUAAUGCAUACCUUUCAUUAAGCCUAUCCCUUUGCAUGCUAAUAUUGGAAACCAAUUAAGAGUUUAAAUUAAUAGUUUUCUCAACUAUGUUUUGAGCUGAGUAACAAUGCCAUGCGUUAUCAGAAAGAAAUUAUAAAGCUGACUUCAUACUUCUUAGGUUUGAAGUAGAUUGGGGACAUCUAAGAAAAGAUGUUGAAUGGGGCAACCGGAGAGGUGGAAGCUGGAACUGUGAUUGAGAAACUGUUUGCUAGUGGACAGAGAAGAGAACAUGGUGAUGUCGUGUGGGUACUGCAAAAGAACUGCCAGGGCUAAAACCUGAGAAGCCCAAGAGGCUCCAUGAGAACGGGGUCCAGUGGUGCAGUGGAAGACGAAAAAUGGCUCUGUAAUUUCAACAACAUGGAAGGCCAAGACAGGAGAACAGAGACUCAAUAGCCAGUCUGAAAUACAGUGUGAGGCCCCAUGGUUAAUUACUAACUAAUAACAUCGUUGCAUUGGUUUAAUGGGGGUGGAGAGUGGGCUCUACUUCUUUACAAAAGAGGGAGGGGAUGUUGACUCUGUUUAAAAAAGCAAGACAAAGGCAAUAAGAAACAAUUGCUAUUUAUAGGAAAGCAGAGAAAGUGCCCAAACAGACAUGAGAUCAGGGCUGUAGUGGACUUACCAACAGCAGGAGCAAUUCUCAAGGUGCUUUGCUUUUUAAAGUCCUCCAUAGCUUCUCCUAGGGCUUCAUGGCUCCCACCUGUGAUCCUAGCACAUAGUGUGGUGAGGCAGGAAGGUGGCAACAAGUUCAAGGCCAGUCUGUGUAACAAGGUAUGAUUUUUUUUUCUUAAAGGGAAGGCUUGCAUUGAGUGUCUUCACUGAGUCAGACUCUGACUUUAAUAAGAUCCUCCAGGUGAUCCAACGGUGUGAGGUUGAGUGCUGUGUGAGGUGGAGGGAGAGUGACACUGAGUGGACUAGUAAAGUUAACAAUGGAAAUAAAAUGAAAGGGCACUUUAGCCUUCGCUGUGGAAGAAUGUGUAUGUCCUGUGGUCAGUAGUUUUCAUUUUAAUUGCAUUUUAGGAAUGCAUACCUUAGAAAUGAUCUUGGAAAUGACAACAGGAAAGAGGGCAUUAGUGCUUUGUUUCUAAUGCAUAAGACUCUGACAAAUAACCCAGAACUGUGGGAUGAACUCACAGGAAGUAAUAAUCCUACUGAGCGUUGCCUUUUACUUGAGGCAAUUAAUAAAUGAAAUAAAUGAAUAAAUAAUUAAACAAAAACAAAUUUCUAAAGAAGACCAUUCACACUGAUCAGCAAAUCCAAGAGCAGAGGCCAAACAUCUCCAUGUUUCCUUCUCUUCCAUUUCUUUAUCUGCAGAGAAGGAAUGGAUGGAGCACACAGUCAUUCUAUCCUAAAAUGCAUUAAGUGGAAAAGAAUAAUUUCCUCUUAGCAUAGCAAGCAGAAAUGUAAAACAUAGAUCAAAACAGUCUAUCAGAACAGACUGGGUAAGCCACAGCUCCUCCACAGUAGAGGGUUGUACUAAUGGGCUAAACUCUUGUUGGUGGGUGCUUGUUUGGUUUUGUUUUUUAAGUCUUUCCUUUUGUUUGUGUGUUUGACGGUGGCUCUUUUUCUAUCAUUCUUUCUGUCUGUGGUUAAACUAUUAUUUAGGAGUCAGAUCUUGUAUGUUUUCAUAACCACUCACUCUUAAGCAAUAAGUCUUUGUAUAGAGAAGACUAACAGUUAUGUUCACAGUGAAAUCCAUUUCAUUUCAGUAAAGGCAGCAAAAAUUUCCCUUAAGAGUUAGUGUGCUAACAAAGACGAUCUUUAAGCUAUUAAAAACAACAACGGGACAUAGUUGACACUUUGUACAAAACACUGCUUUUAAUUACCACUGCAGAACACGACUCACAUGUUGUCACCAGUGGCCAGCCGUAAAUACGUUUGAUUUUCCGAGCUCAAGUAAAAUGAUAUUUUUUCUUGCAAUAAUUUGUUUAUAAUAGUCCAUUAACAUCCAACUACUUUACCCAGUAUGAAAACAGUAUGUUUUAGGACUACUAUAAAUGUGGAAAUUCACUAGAAUGAAAAAUAAUUAAAAUAAUACUAAGCCAAUUCUGUCUCAAUACUUGUAUCCACUUCACUAAGAUUUCAUUUCUACAAGAAGCCAGGCAUGUUGUGAUACACUGGCAACAACAGGCUCCCUAAUAAAGCUUACACUGUAAUAGAAGAGAGAGCAAUUAAUCAAGUAAUUGCAUAGGUAAAUGAGUAAUUGCACUUGUGAUUCAUGCUGUGAGGAGUGUUAUGGAAUGUGUCACAUGUGUGUUCGAUCUGUUAGGGGAGGUCACUGGCAGGCAGGUGUAGAGUGGAAGGAAGGCUAUUUCAAGCAGACCGACAUUUGUAAUAUUUACUGUUUUUCCUCUUCUUCAGUUCUACAGCUGUAAACCACCUGCCCUCAGAGCUACUGACUUCAUACUUCUCCUUUUCUAAAGGAUCAGAGUCCAGGCUUUCCAGACUGUACUGAGGUGGCCUAAGUGACCAAUGCAAACACUGUGAUGGCUAUUCAACACGUGAAGCCCAACGCUGUGACAUCAUUUGGACACCAUGCACACUACUAACUUGAGGGUAAUCAGAGCUGCGGACUGAUGGAGUGGAAAGAGUGCUGGGCAGAGGGCCAGAGUCUCAGAGUUCAAGCUUGUUGCUGUAACAUUCGCCAGCUCUGCAUCCUCAGCAAAGAAAUUGCCCGAGUCUUGGAAUCUCUGGAUGACGGACAUGGCCAAUGCUCCUGGCUUCACAUGAAGACGAAAUCAGACCUUAAAUUUUCAUUCGGCAUUCUGUCUGCAGGUUCCUGAUUAUGAAGCUGGAAAUACAUGUGGAGGAUCCUUGACAUGCCCGCUCUGAGCCAUGCCUCCACUCACGGGCCCUGUUUUGACUUCAGGUUUAAAGUCCAGCUGAGUGACUCUCUGUGUUUUCACCAUGGGGCUGCGUCUUUCUUCAAUAUCCAGCUGAGCAGAAAGAAGCAAUGUCCGUCUCUGCAAUCUGUUCUAGUGCAGACACCCGCGACAGGCGACGUCAUCAACUACUUUAGCGUUUCAAGACAAGAAGAGAGAAACAUCUGGGAAGGAAGAGCAUGACAACAUCAGCCUCUGAGGUUUGCAGCCUAGUGUGUCAGCCAUGAUGACUGCAAUCUCUGCUAAAGUUACCAGAAAUAGAUUUCAACUCACAGUGCAGUUUCUCCAUUAGAGCAUUCCGUUUCUAAUGCUCCAUUACCCAGCAAGUGGAAUGCCACCAGAGAAGGAGGUAGAGUCAGCACCAAGCAUCAAAGAAAGAAGAGCAUCUCCCGUGAGUACACACAAAGAAGGAUUGUAUAGUGCUCACUGCAAGCUAACAGGUCAGAUAAGUGAGUUGACUCAUUACUGAAGUGCGAGUUUGUAAACUUCGACUGUGUGGUGGAGCACAGCAGACAGCAGACCAAAGCAAAUUCACAUUCCAGAACUUCCUCAGCCACAGGCUGGAUCUGCUGCCCUGAAAUGGGUGCUUUCGUUUUCUAGGUUCUGCUUUUCUCUUCUGUAAAGUCGUGUGGCUGAUCUCAAAGGUUCUUUCCAGCUCAGGAUCUCUAUGUUUCUAAGCAAGGAACCACGUGCUUUACUGCAAACUCAAGAGCCAGUCAUAAGGGCAAGACACCUUUCACUCUUACUGUCUGCAAAGUCAUACGGAAACAAAAUGAGUAAAAGUGUUCCUUCUAGAAUAAAGCAGAAAGUGCCCUCAUAUGCCUCUGUGGGGAGCAUGACUGUAUUUUGACUCUUUGGCACAUGUAAUUUUUAAAAAAGUUGGGACUCACAUCAUAAAUAAUGUUGAAUGGAGCUUACCAACAUCCAUACAGAAGUACCUAGCAACUUUUCAUGACUGCACUGGGGGAUUCCUUACAUCAAAGACACAUCGUAUUUAUCUCAACAAAGAUACUGGAUGAGAACUUGAAAUGAAUAUGUUAAGCAAUGAGUAGUUUUCAGUCACAAUCCCUGUAAAAACAAAUUUGGGGAAAUUACCAAGCAACAUAUGUGAGGCCAGAGAGAUGCAUUGCUGACUUCUUUUUGUUUACCUGCUAGUAGAGUAUGUUUUAAAUAUUCAUUAAAUUAUUUAAUAUAGGACUUUGAUUAUUAACCUCCAACAAAUAGCUACAUCUUAAAAAUUAAAAUUACAGCUAAGCUCUGGCCUUCAUGUGGGUCUGGAACAACUGGAAUGGAGGCUAUGCAAAAUCUGUUGCCUGUAUGUGGAAUAUGUUGUACUACCUGGGCUACAUUGUGAGUCCUCUGUGGAAGAAGUGCCUAGCCUCAAAGACAUGAAGUGCCAUUGUUGGAGGUCAGGUAUACCCAGGGGGUCCUACCCACUCAGAAGAG
rnacentral:sRNA from 1 species